rnacentral:lncRNA from 1 species
GACCACACACAACCAUUAAAAGAGAAACUUUGUCCAAGGUUGCCAAAACCAAAAGAAAAACAAAAAUGGCAACCUAGUAAAAUUAAUUUGCAAACUAACACCUAUGCCUUAUUUGAUUAUUUCUAUAGGUGGACGUUUGACCCAGGAGGACAAGCUUUGGCGAAGCAAGAGGCUGCUAUCCGAGAUCAAAUCUCUAGAUCUGAGGAUAGAUCUUCUCAAGGAGAAGGAGAUGAUGGACACCAUCCAGCCACAUCCAUUCCCCUAGCCAUGAAGAAGAAGAAGCAAUGGAUUUGAGGACAAAUCCUUUUCAAGAGGGAGGGGAUGAUGGAAGAGGCCCAAGCACAAGCCCACAUGCAAGCCCACCAAAGGGUAGAUUUGGGCCACCCAUAGAGUUAUGGCCGAGAGGAUCCAAGAAGACGUUCUUUUACAUGUUCAAAUGCCAUAAACUCUAGUGUAGAGUAGACUUU